GACGAACGCUGGCGGCGUGCUUAACACAUGCAAGUCGAACGAAAAGACGGAAAGAGCCUGCUCUUUCCGGAAUUGAAUGGCAAACGGGUGAGUAACACGUAAACAACCUGCCUUCAGGAUGGGGACAACAGACGGAAACGACUGCUAAUACCGAAUAAGUUCCAAGGGCCGCAUGGCCCAUGGAAGAAAAGGUGGCCUCUACCUGUAAGCUACCGCCUGAAGAGGGGUUUGCGUCUGAUUAGCUGGUUGGAGGGGUAACGGCCACCAAGGCGACGAUCAGUAGCCGGUCUGAGAGGAUGAACGGCCACACUGGAACUGAGACACGGUCCAGACUCCUACGGGAGGCAGCAGUGGGGAAUCUUCCGCAAUGGGCGAAAGCCUGACGGAGCAACGCCGCGUGAGUGAUGACGGCCUUCGGGUUGUAAAACUCUGUGAUCCGGGACGAAAAGGCAGAGUGCGAAGAACAAACUGCAUUGACGGUACCGGAAAAGCAAGCCACGGCUAA
rnacentral:rRNA from 1 species